rnacentral:rRNA from 1 species
GUAGUUUACUACAGAAAAUGACUGAGCGGCGAACGGGUGAGUAACGCGUGAGCAAUCUACCUUAGUUACAGGGAUAGCCCGAGGAAACUCGGAUUAAUACCUGAUAUUCUUUAUAUUUCGCAUGAAAUUAAAAGGAAAGGUCAGCCGAACUAAGAUGAGCUCGCGUUCUAUCAGCUAGUUGGUGAGGUAAAAGCUUACCAAGGCUACGACGGAUAGCUGGUCUGAGAGGACGAUCAGCCACACUGGGACUGAGACACGGCCCAGACUCCUACGGGAGGCUGCAGCAGGGAAUAUUGCGCAAUGAGCGAAAGCUUGACGCAGCGACACCGCGUGUGGGAUGACGGAUCUAGGUUUGUAAACCACUUUCAGGAGGGAAGAAAAUGACGGUACCUCCACAAGAAGCCCCGGCCAACUACGUGCCAGCAGCCGCGGUAAUACGUAGGGGGCGAGCGUUGUCCGGAUUUAUUGGGCGUAAAGAGCUCGUAGGCGGUUCAACAAGUCGGUCGUGAAAGUUCAGGGCUCAACCCUGAAAUGUCGAUCGAUACUGUUGUGACUAGGAUACGGUAGAGGUGAGUGGAAUUCCGAGUGUAGCGGUGAAAUGCGUAGAUAUUCGGAGGAACACCAAUUGCGAAGGCAGCUCACUGGGCCGCUAUCGACGCUGAGGAGCGAAAGCUAGGGGAGCAAACAGGAUUAGAUACCCUGGUAGUCCUAGCUGUAAACGAUGGAUACUAGACGUAGGAACUGGAUUGACGGUUUCUGUGUCGC